rnacentral:rRNA from 1 species
GUGGGGAAUAUUGCACAAUGGGGGAAACCCUGAUGCAGCAACGCCGCGUGAGUGAAGAAGUAUUUCGGUAUGUAAAGCUCUAUCAGCAGGGAAGAAAAUGACAGUACCUGACUAAGAAGCCCCGGCUAACUACGUGCCAGCAGCCGCGGUAAUACGUAGGGGGCAAGCGUUAUCCGGAUUUACUGGGUGUAAAGGGAGCGUAGACGGCUGUGCAAGUCAGAAGUGAAAGCCCGGGGCUCAACCGCGGGACUGCUUUUGAAACUGUGUAGCUGGAGUGCAGGAGAGGUAAGUGGAAUUCCUAGUGUAGCGGUGAAAUGCGUAGAUAUUAGGAGGAACACCGGUGGCGAAGGCGGCUUACUGGACUGUAACUGACGUUGAGGCUCGAAAGCGUGGGGAGCAAACAGG